AACGAACGCUGGCGGCGUGCUUAACACAUGCGAGUCGAACGGAAAGGCCCUGCUUUUGUGGGGUGCUCGAGUGGCGAACGGGUGAGUAACACGUGAGUAACCUGCCCUUGACUUUGGGAUAACUUCAGGAAACUGGGGCUAAUACCGGAUAGGAGCUCCUGCUGCAUGGUGGGGGUUGGAAAGUUUCGGCGGUUGGGGAUGGACUCGCGGCUUAUCAGCUUGUUGGUGGGGUAGUGGCUUACCAAGGCUUUGACGGGUAGCCGGCCUGAGAGGGUGACCGGCCACAUUGGGACUGAGAGACGGCCCAGACUCCUACGGGAGGCAGCAGUGGGGAAUAUUGCACAAUAGGCGGAAGCCUGAUGCAGCGGCGCCGCGUGCGGGAUGACGGCCUUCGGGUUGUAAACCGCUUUCGCCUGUGACGAAGCGUGAGUGACGGUAAUGGAUAAGGAAGCACCGGCUAACUACGUG
rnacentral:rRNA from 1 species